rnacentral:lncRNA from 1 species
GAAAAUUUGGGUGAAGGACUUCCCAUUCCACAGAGGAUUUGAAGGCUCACCUUAGAAGCGGGGGCCUGGGGGUGGUGCUGGAGACGACGCUCUGACAGGAAUGAGAAGAUGGGGGUCAAAAAUGGCUGGAUAUUGUCAGUUUGAUACAGUCUGGCUCUUCCUAUGCAUGGAGCUCCUAUCACAUGCCAGGCACAAUGGCCCCUCUCCUACCAUUGUCAAACCCUGGUAGCUGGACAUAGUUCUACUGGUAAACACCCCAGCCCAGCCCAGACUGUCGGAGCCAACCCUGGUCCUUCGCUGGGGGCGUACAGCAGUGUUCUUGGCUGGUCCUGCUUCGAGGCCUUCAGACAUCGUGCCAGGCUCUGUGCUAACAGUCACACGAGUUGAGCAUUACGCCCCUAUUUUACAGACAUGGGAACUGAGGCUCCUACCCAAGGUCAUGCAGGGAGGACUCAAACCCAAGCCUGGUGGACUUUAAACCUGGACGACAG